UCACGUGCCUUCUUCUGUCUCCAUCUCUCCCACAAGGUUACCAAGCACCUUAGACACCCCCCUAACAAAGAACACACACACACACACAAGAAAGUGAGCAGGAUUUACUCAGAGUUGGGGUUUCACCUACUGGUUUACUCAGAAGCUACACAAAAGAAUAAGGCAGUUAUGUGUAUUAGCAAAUGUGUUGCUGAAAUAAGGGACCACGUGGAUAGGAGAGGAGGCAACAGAUGCACUGGGAGAAAAUACGAGGGGCCAGGGGCCCUGCGGGGUUGAAGAUCUGAUAGAGCAGAAUGAGGACAUGAGACAGCUACAAGAUUAGGACAUUUUCCACAAUUUUCUUCCAUCAUACUUUUCAUCAU
rnacentral:lncRNA from 1 species